GUGAGGAAUUUUCCGCAAUGGGCGAAAGCCUGACGGAGCAAUGCCGCGUGAAGGAUGAAGGCCUAUGGGUUGUAAACUUCUUUUCUCAGAAAAUAAUUAUGACGGUAUCUGAGGAAUAAGCAUCGGCUAACUCUGUGCCAGCAGCCGCGGUAAGACAGAGGAUGCAAGCGUUAUCCGGAAUGAUUGGGCGUAAAGCGUCUGUAGGUUGUUUAAAAAGUAUUCUGUCAAAGAUUAGGGCUUAAACCUAGAUAGGCAGAAUAAACUUUUAAGCUAGAGUUUGGUAGAGGCAGAGGGAAUUCCCGGUGGAGCGGUGAAAUGCGUAGAUAUCGGGAGGAACACCAAAGGCGAAGGCACUCUGCUGGGCCAAUACUAACACUGAGAGACGAAAGCGAGGGGAGCAAAUGGGAUUAGAAACCCGAGUAGUCC
rnacentral:rRNA from 1 species